rnacentral:rRNA from 1 species
UGGUGGAGUGAUUUGUCUGGUUAAUUCCGUUAACGAACGAGACCUCGACCUACUAACUAGUUUGCGCUACUCUUUGGGUAGUCGUAAGCUUCUUAGAGGGACUAUCGGCUGUUAGCCGAUGGAAGUUCGAGGCAAUAACA